rnacentral:rRNA from 1 species
UACGUAGGGGCUAGCGUUGUCCGGAUUUAUUGGGCGUAAAGAGCGUGUAGGCGGCCAGGUAGGUCUGGUGUGAAAACUCGAGGCUUAACCUCGAGAUGUCAUCGGAAACCAUUUGGCUAGAGUCCGGAAGAGGAGAGUGGAAUUCCUGGUGUAGCGGUGAAAUGCGCAGAUAUCAGGAAGAACACCAAUGGCGAAAGCAGCUCUCUGGGACGGUACUGACGCUGAGAGCGAAAGCUGGGGAGCGAACAGG